AUUGAACGCUGGCGGCAGGCUUAACACAUGCAAGUCGAGCGAGCAGCGGACGGGUGAGUAAUGUCUGGGAAACUGCCUGAUGGAGGGGGAUAACUACUGGAAACGGUAGCUAAUACCGCAUACCAUCAGAUGUGCCCAGAUUGGAUAAGUUAGUAGGUGGGGUAAUGGCCCACAUGGGCGACGAUCCCUAGCUGGUCUGAGAGGUUGACCAGCCACACUUGAACUAGGACACGGCUCAGACUACUACGGGAGGCAGCAGUGGUGAAUAUUGCACAAUGGGCGCAAUCCUGAUGCAGCCAUGCCGCGUGUGUGAAGAAGGCCUUCGGGUUGUAAAGCACUUUCGGCGAGGAGGCGUUACUCACAGAAGAAGCACCGGCUAACUCCGUGACAGCAGCCGCGGUAAUUC
rnacentral:rRNA from 1 species